CUUAUGACUGGUUGUUAGCUUCUGAGCAAUGCACCGACUGUUAGCUGGGGCGGAAUGGUUUGGGAGCCUCUGAUGGAUCCACCAUCUCCUGCUCCUUUUGAUCCCGAGGUGCCAUUCCUCCCACCUGCACCACCACCACCACCACCACCAGCAGCAGCAGGCAUUCUGGAUUCAUGCCUGUGGUGUCUUUGCUGCUGUGGAUUGUUUACGAGUUGCUGCCCACCACUGUUUCAGCCUGGACCCCCUCCUCCACUCUGAAUCCAUGAUGUGGAGAAAUCGGAUGGAUGCUUUUUAGUGUGUGUCUCCUCCACCUGUGAUCGAAAAGAGGGAUUGGAAUGGGAUGUUUUGAUAUGAUUAGAACCGCGACUUCAAUUUUUCCUUCAUUUGUGGCCAAAAGUGGACUCUUCAUGUUCUUCCAAUCCACUCCAUGCUUUGCGUUUCUAUCAGCAGCGAAGCUCCGAGCUUCUUAUCUCCGAUACGAUAAACAAGGUUUUGUGCAGAGGGAUACGAUAUGAUAAACAAAGGGUGUGUAAUGUUGUUCGUUUGUCUGUACAACAUACAUUAUGACACACGUCCUGAAUAUAAUGCAACUCAAUAACAGUGGUCUUUCCUGUGAUACAAUGACCAUUUAACAAACAAUUUCAACGCUUUUAUCCUUUUUCUCUGUUGUCAAUUAAUGUUACCAUAAUAAGCCAUUCCAAAAUCCAACUGACCGCCUCUUAUAAUUGACCAUUAUUCUGACUGACGAUGUGAUAACACAACCUUGUUUGCUUCAUGCAAAUCCAAUUUGUCGGCCAUCUCUAGGAAACAAUACCAAAUCUGUGUUGCCAUGAAAGUAUUAUUAUUUGUCACUUCAGACGACUAAUGCUACCUUAUCGAGAACAAUCUGCCAUCACUCUCCGAGGAAUGACGGACAAAACUGCGAUUUCCAUGAACAUUAAAGAGUAUCAUCAUGCAAGUCAUCAGCAGAUGCACCGGGGUGGUGAUGAAGAAUCUGCAUCAUAACAAAUCAUCAUUAAAAAAAAUAAAAUAAAAUCGGCAUCCAUAACAAAUCAUCAUUUUGAUCUCAGAGUCCACUCUCAUCUACUGUAUUCAACACAGUACAU